rnacentral:tmRNA from 1 species
GGGGGCGACACGGUUUCGACGAGGGUAUGGAAGCUCAAGCUGCGUGCCGGGGUCCGCGACCUCGUUAAAAACGCGGAAAAAACACAAACGCCGACUCUGAAUACGAGUACGCACUGGCUGCAUAGUCAGCCACGUCCUGCAGGCCCUGCCUGUUGGACCUGUAGGGCGCCAAGCUAACAGGCUCGCCCGAUCCAGUUACCUGCGCUGGAAAGGGUUAAACAUUUUGCAGGUUAGCCCUGGAAAGAUCCUGCCCAGAUGGAGCUUUCCGGGCGAAAAUGAAAAAUCUGGGCUACGCACGUAGACGCUUGAGUGGAAUGCUUUCGGACGCGGGUUCGACUCCCGCCGCCUCCACCA